rnacentral:rRNA from 1 species
UAGUGAGUUUGAUCCUGGCUCAGGAUGAACGCUAGCGGCAGGCCUAAUACAUGCAAGUCGAACGGAUGUCAGCAAUGGCAUUAGUGGCGCACGGGUGCGUAACGCGUAGGCAAUCUGCCUAUCUCUGGGGGAUAGCCCGCCGAAAGGGGGAUUAAUACCGCAUAACCACCGACAACACGGCAUCGUGUCAUGGUUAAAGAAUUUCGGAGAUAGAUGAGCCUGCGUGCCAUUAGCUAGUUGGUAAGGUAA